rnacentral:rRNA from 1 species
UACGAAGGGGGCUAGCGUUGCUCGGAAUUACUGGGCGUAAAGCGCACGUAGGCGGAUCUUUAAGUCAGGGGUGAAAUCCUGGAGCUCAACUCCAGAACUGCCUUUGAUACUGAGGACCUUGAGUUCGGGAGAGGUGAGUGGAACUGCGAGUGUAGAGGUGAAAUUCGUAGAUAUUCGCAAGAACACCAGUGGCGAAGGCGGCUCACUGGCCCGAUACUGACGCUGAGACGCGAAAGCGUGGGGAGCGAACAGG